UUAGCUGUGGGGAGAAUAAAUACUGUUUGCCUGUUUUUGUCAGAAUUAUCAAUCGACUGGACACAGAAUAUUUGUUUUGCUAGUUAUUAAAUUACACCGUUUAGAAAACACAUCAGUUUGGUCCAGUAUAAUAUCUGACAGUCUAUGUGCCAAUCUGUUUCCUAGGCGUUCAGUUUGUACAUCUCAGCAGGAAGGAAACGGGCCCUGAUAUUUAACAACAGCCCUGAAGGAAACCCCAGAGGAUUCUCUGUGUAUUUUUUGUUGUUUUAGAUUUUACUUGGUGGAGCUCAGGGCCUGUGCCAAGGGGCUGGGGGGGGUUCUCAGGGGCCCAAAGCAACUUAAGUGCCUCCCCCCCCCCCGUAGCGCACUCUGCCUCUGCGCCUGGCCAUACUAAUCCUUGAUUCUAAUAUUUACAUUAUUCACACUGCCCUACUACAGUUUGGAAAUACUGUAGUAUCUAUAAUGUUGAAACACGUUUACACGGAAAAUACAACUGAAAUGAAGUAUAAUAAACAUGUUUUGCUUUGUAUUUUUUCUUACGAAUGGAAGAUUCUGUUAGUUCUAUGUUUAUAUGAGGCCAACACUGAAAGUUGAACGGGUGCUAUGAUACCUAAACGGUUUUAGAGUUCUUAUUACAGUUAGCUCAUAUUGAGGUGGAAGUGACACAGUGGAUGGUGAGGUGUGGAAAAAAAGUCUUUAUAUAGCUUUCAGUCUGCUUCUUGGAAAAUAUUACUUCAGUUUAUCAUGUUUUCUUUCCUGUGUGUGAUCUCUGAUGUACACCCACACAGAAAACUAAAAGACAUGUACACUGAUUAAGCACUUUUAUGUAGAAACAUCAGCGGAUCUGCUUCUCAAGAUAUUUUCAUUACUUUAAAAGCCUACAUUUAAGUUUUGUUUACAUAUCACUACUUGCUUUCUAGCUUCCAGAAACUAAAAGUAAUGAUGCUGCACUUAUUGGAGUCUGUAAAAUAAUGCUUUGUUUGCCCAAGUGCACACUGUAUUUAGAUCACUCUAGUAAAAACAGAAGUUGUUGGUGUCGAAACUGUAAAACAUAUUUGUUCUCUUAACUCUUUAGAGUGAAAAUCUGAGUGAAGCAACAGUUUGCUGUGCUUCUUUUUAAAAGGAAUGAAUCUGCUUGCACCGUAUCAUUGAUGUAGUAAACUUACUUUCUAAUCACCUUGUAUGUUUGCAUUUCAUUUCCGCGUAUGUUUGGUGCUCUUGAUGACUUGUAUAUAUUUUUGCUCUGACUGUAAUAGUAAAACAGUACAGUUCCUAAAUGCAAUUACUGUACCUGGCAUUUGAAAGAGCCAACACCAGUGGGAUUUUGCAUACAAUUUAACAAUUUGCAAAGCAUACACAGAGGUGGAUUAAAUACAACUUUUUUGCACUGCAGUGCAGAAUACAUUUAAUGUUUAUCUAAUUAUUUAUUGUUGAACUACUACUAAAUAUUUCUAUACCAAGUCUAACCCGUUUCCCUGCUUUUCAUUGCAGAUUCAUACAUCUUCCAUAUGUUUUUGGCAGGCAGGUCAGUCAUGGAACCAAAUAAAAGAAAGUCAUCAACUAUAAUCCUCUCGAAAGCCUAUGUAGAAUGGGCUUUUUUAGACAGCCCAGUAGGUGUCUAUAUGCAUUACAGCGUGGUUAUUGACUUGUUAAAACAAUAUUUAUCUGUUUGCAAUACUAAUAGGUUUGUUUUUGCCAGACAAAAGUAAAACAAAAAAGUAUAUAUACAUUAAUGAAGGUAGUGUUAACACUACAGGUACAUUGAUAUAACAAAUGAUAUCAUAGGAUUUCUACUAUUUAAUAAGUUCUUUACUUAGCCAAUGUAUUAAUCUGGUUAGCACUUUAUUGACUAUUUUAACCAUUCUAGUUAGUUAUUUAGUUUUCAUUUAUGCAAAUGGUUGGUAGUUUACAGCCUGUUUGAAAGGUUAAAUCACUUUAAAUCACUGAGACUUGGGAUGAUGGAUGGUGGCCCUGGUGGUGGUACUGAUAGGUGACUUUACUUUGUAUUAAUUCUGAGGUGUCUUAUAUCAAGGGUUUACUGUAUAUGUAUAUAUUUGUAUAAAUUAUGUAUAUAUUGCAUCACUGUGAAUAUAUAGCCCUUUACCUUUACCAAAGUAUGUCUGGCAGCUCUUUUGUACAUUGUAUUCAGCCUAUUGACCAGACUGCACCCAGCUACCUCCAGACCCUUAUCUCUCCCUACACCCCCACUCGACCUCUCCGCUCCGCCUGCACUAGAAGACUGGCUCUACCUCCUCUACGCUCCCCUGCCUCCAGAGCCUGCUCCUUCUCCACCCUUGCUCCGCAGUGGUGGAAUAACCUUCCUACAGAUGUCAGGACUGCCCAGUCCCUGACCACAUUCCGGCGCCUCCUUAAGACUCACCUCUUCAGACAGCACCUGUAGAACGCCUCUGUUUUUCCCUUGGGACACUUGAAUUGAAAGAAAAUAGACACACUCAUCCAUGGGACAUUGCCUCGUAAGAGACAGCAGAUGGCACUGACAUCACCAUAUGUAGGGCAGCCACAUUCUCAUGAAAAUGUCAGAUUUAUGUGGAACUUUUUUGAGUAUUGCAAGAUUUUCCAAUGUCUUUCAUGUUACCUGCAUGUAAGUGUUUAUAACAAAAAGGUUUAUCAUCAAGAAUUUUAUCUGUUUUAUAGUCUGUAUCUAUAUCUGUCAACACGUGCCAACUGUGUAUAAUUCAGCAUUUGUCUGUAUCAUAAGGGGUCAUCCAAAAUUAUCAUCAAUUACAGCAAUCUUACAAGUUUUCUAUUCCAAUUUCGCAAUGAAAUCCAGUAGUAUUGCGUGACAGGCACAAUUUUUCAAUCUAGCUAUAUAUUUUGUAUGUUUAAAAGAAGCUUUUUUGUAUGGUACCGUGUAUGAGAAACCGAUUUUAGACAUUAUUAUUGAAUGUAUAUUAAUUAAUUGUGCACAAAUUUGCACACUGGGGUAGUACAGUUUCAAAUAAAAACAAAUUUUUCUGCCUUUUAACAAUUCAUUGUAUUUUGAUACAAUUGUGUGGUGCUGUCUUUCUGUACCAUUUGUCAUUCAAACGAUCACCCAUGAGAAAAAUAAUGGGAGCUUGCUGAUGCUCCAUUGCCUUCUAUGUAGGCUAACAUAACAGGAUCCUUUUACUUAACCAAAAUUAAAAUGUCAUGUGACAAAAAUUA